UACGUAGGGUGGCGAGCGUUGUCCGGAAUCACUGGGCGUAAAGGGCGGCGUAGGUGGCGCGACAAGUCAGUGGUGAAAGCUCGACGCUCAACGUCGAGUCGGCCACUGAUACUGUUGGGCUUGAGCACUGUAGAGGCUAAUGGAAUUCCUGGUGUAGCGGUGGAAUGCGCAGAUAUCAGGAGGAACACCUAUAGCGAAGGCAGCUCGCUGGGACGGUACUGACGCUGAGGCGCGAAAGCGUGGGGAGCGAACAGG
rnacentral:rRNA from 1 species